UACGUAGGGGGCAAGCGUUGUCCGGAAUCAUUGGGCGUAAAGCGCGUGUAGGCGGCUCGAUAAGUCUGCUGUGAAAGUCCAGGGCUCAACCCUGGAAUGCCGGUGGAAACUGUCGGGCUAGAGUCCGGAAGAGGCGAGUGGAAUUCCUGGUGUAGCGGUGAAAUGCGCAGAUAUCAGGAGGAACACCAAUGGCGAAGGCAGCUCGCUGGGACGGUACUGACGCUGAGACGCGAAAGCGUGGGGAGCAA
rnacentral:rRNA from 1 species